UGCGCGUCAAUUUAUCUUUGAGUAGGGUUGCUUACUUUAUCAUUAUCGAGUUUUAGUAUUUUGUACAAUUUUAUCGUUAUCGAAUUUUAAACAUUUUGUGUAUUUUCAGCUUUGUUCUUAUUUGGUGGUUGGAUUCGUUUGGUAAGUAGUUUCAAUUUAUUAGGAUUCAGGAAUUAAUUAUUGUUUGGUGAGUACUGUGUUAUAGUUUAAAGUUGUUUAUAUUGUUUCAAUGUAAUUUGUUUCAUUGCAGGUGGCACCAGAGAGGACAGCCAAGUUGAUGAUGGAUGGGUAAGUAUGUGCUUAUAUAUGUAGCAAAAGGACUGGCUUUAUUAUUAUAAAUCUUUUUAUUUCCAGAUAAGACGUGGAAAGUUACCAAGUCUGAUUUUAUAGUAUAUAAAUAGGUUAUUUGUUAUUCUUAGGUUAUUGUUUUGUUUGUAGAAUUGUCAUUAGUUUAUUGUUUUGCUUGUUUCCCUUAGUCUGAGUUAUUGUUUGUUUAGACUUUGUUUCAUUUAGUGAAUUUUAGUCUUUUAGGAAUAUUUGUCUUGUUAUUUAGUGUAGUAGUUUAAGUUUAAGAUUGCAUUUGCCUGGGGUAAUUUGAGUUUUAAUAUAUGGCGCAGAGUAUUUGUUUCCUUUGUGGCUAUCGAAUUUUGACAAAUAGCGUACUUUAGGAUGUGUUCGUACUAGGUGUUUAUGUUUGGAUUAUAUUAAGUUUAUUUAUUAUACGCAGGUAGCUAAGUUGUUAUUUAAUAGGUCUUUUAUAAUUUAUAUAUUUUUAUUUUUAUUUUAUUUUAUUUGUUUAUUUAUUUUAUUUAUUUAUUCUUAUUUUUUGUGAGCAAUACGUGCGAGGGUGGGUAUCAAAGUUGCUUCCUUUUGUUUCUUGUUGAAGAUUACUGCUUUGUCAGCUUCUUUUCCUUGCUUAGACUUGUCUUGUCUUCAGUAUUAGCGUUUGAUUUAGUGUUUGGUUGUUAUGUGCUAUAUAUAUUUAUUGUUUGAUUUUUAUUUUUAUUUUUUUAUCUGAUUGUUGUUUUAUUAGUUAUAUUAUUAUUAUUAGUUAGUUAUAGUGUAAUUACUAGUUAGUUGUAUUGUAUUAUAUUAUUAGAUAUUUAGAAUUGCAUUAAUAUGUUGGGGAUGUCAAAUAGUUUACCAGUUUUUAUCGUUUAGGAGGCUUGUAGUUUGUAUUUGUGAGGAAUAUUGUAUAAUAUUGUUAUUAUUAGUUAGUUAUAGUGAAAUUAUGUUAUUCUAGUUAUUUUUUUUAUUUUUGUUUAUUUAUUUAUUUUUAUUUUUUUUUUUUUUUGUUUUAGUUUAGGUUUUGCAGCGAGCAGCUUGUUGAUUUUUAGGUUUUGCCGCAAGCAGCUUGUUGAUUGUAAGUAUUAAUUUGUCUAUUUUGUAUCUUUAAUUCAGCAGUAAAAUUUUAAUGAGUUGUAUCUUUCAGAUAGCGCUUGAAGAUGCCACUGUCUAGUACUUGUAUUAAGUGUUCUUGUUUGAUUAAUGAGAGUAUAAACUUUUUUCAGCCUGCAUGCGAGGGAAUCACAUACACAAUUGCCCUGCUUUUUCUCGCCUCAAGCUUUAGGCUG